AGAGAAACAAUAUGACAUUUCGUAAAAUUUUAAUAAAAUUAAUUCCUAUUUAGAUAACUACAGGAUUAUAAAAGAAACACAUUGAAGUUUUUUUAUUUUAACAAUACAACAUAAUAUAUAAAUAACUAAAUAAUAUAACUAUAUAAGAAGCUUAUUAAUCUUAUACAUAUAUAGAUAAUAGACAACGAGGUAAAGAACAAGCAAAACUUUUAAUGAAACAAUGUGUUCCCGAUGUGGGAAUCGAACCCACGACCCUCAACACAACAUUGAGGGCCGCUAACUACACCAACACCGAGUCAAUCAGAAGAUGACGGCGAAGGCGGUUCUCGUCGACAUUCGAACAUCGUGGUUAAUUCGCCAAAGAAAAUAGUUAUACAAAUUUAGUUUAAAAAUUACCGGAAAAUAAAUAAAGGCGAAGUCA